AGAAAGAGUUGGCUUCCACUUCCACCUGUCUCCCAUACUUUCCUAUUGUUCUAGGGCUAGAAAAUGAGAAGCUUCAUUUCCAAGACUCCCUUGCAGCCAGGUUGCUGGCUAUGAGUUGAUUUCUGCUGACCAGUGGUUCCAGGGCAAGGCUUGGCAGCUGGAAGAGCUGUGUGUCCUCCAUUCAUCUGCUGCUCCAGUGGCCACUGGCAAGAAGUAGACCACAGAGCCCUAUCAGUUUUCUGUAAGAUUGUUUCAGCAUCCAGUCACUAGCUCCAAGGUGUUGAGCAGUUACUAUGGGGGCAGUGGUACCAAUGUUGUUGCAUUGUGAUCACUGCACUGGAACCCCAUUCUCUAACUCAGCAUUCCCAGAAGCAGCCAGCAACAGAGAAUGCUGUAAAAGCUUAUAGAUGAUUCAGUGACCACAAGAGCUGAGGGGAAGAUGACUCCUACAGACUGCAUGGUAUCCUCUGAAUGAGGAAUCAGUGCAUGGUACUAUAUUUUCAAUAGGUAGAGUAAAUGGCUCUGGAAACUCAGGUCUUGGGAGAGGAAUAUUUUACUAAUUCAAGGAAUGAAUCAUUCACUCAUCAGUUUUUGCUGUUCUCCCCAAGACACUGAGCCCUGAUAGUUAGAGCUGUCACUACCCCAUAUGUGUGUGCUGUCACAGAAGUUCUCUUGGGGUGAAGUCACUGUUGCUGUGACACGGGACCAGCAUGCCAAAGGAGAGGGUCACCAUGUAGACCAGGAGGACUGGUACUGACUCUAUAGAGAAAUAUCACUGCUGCUGCAGAAUGCCAGCAAGAAAGAAAACCUCUGAAAUCCAGAAGAUGCUCUGAGAUUCCUCCAGAGACCCCCAUAUCCAGCUGUAAAAGUUAAUGGAUGAUCCCAGGAGCCCACAGUAGGCAGGAUGACAAAGGGCUCAAUAUGUAAUAAAAAGGAUGAUGUACCUCAACUCAACAGGAAUCUCAUUAUGACUGAGGUUGAGUUGCUGACCAGGUGUAAAUGGAAGGGAACAGCACUGAAACUGAUAUCAAUAAGAAUGGAGUCCAAGUUAAAGACAGGUACACCUGAAAUAUAUCAAGAUUUCACUGCAAACUCUGUACUAGGAUGAACAAGCAGAUCCCUGGAUGUAAAGGAGUUUUGAAGUAGCUUAUUCUAGCAAAUGUGGGUCUAUUGUG
rnacentral:lncRNA from 1 species